rnacentral:lncRNA from 1 species
GGGGUUUUGAGAUGGGUUUUUAUGAUUCCUAAGCUUCACAAUUAAGAACGUCACGUUAUAGCGACGCUGUGUAGGUGACAUUAGCUGAAGCUCCUGUUAGACCAGCCCCUUCUCAGUCUCUGUCCUUGGUAGGUGAAACAAUCCCCUCAUUGUUAAAGAAGUGUGACAGUAGUUAAAAGUGUUCUCCCUGAACCAUGAAGGCCAAUAUGUCAUCCCAUAAGACAAUGCUUUGCCAAUCGCAGGAAUGCUAUCUGAUGUGAGUGUAUUGGAUUUGAUCAGUGUUCACAGUUAGCAUGUUAUUUUUUUCUUUCAAGACCUCUUCAUAAAUUUUAACUCAAGAGGCAGGAGGAUCACAAGUUCAAGGCCAGCCUGAGGAGGUAUUGAGACCCUCAAAACAAAACAACGACAAAAACACUAUAGAUUUUAGCUUACACUUGUAUUUAACAAAACCUUAGCAAAUGUUUCUAAGAUGAUCCAGCAGACACACACACCAGUCCUUUCACAACUGUAGAUUCUUGUAAAUAAAACAAAAUACUCAUUAGGUAAUAAUUAUCUUUUUUGAAGAUUCAUCUAUGAGGCCUCUUUAACAGAGGACUAACUCAUGCAAGUAUUGGAGCAACAGUGAUUUAAAAUAAAAGUAAUUUUUUAAAAGUGAGGCUUUGAAAGUCUGUGAAGUUUUCUGAAGUUGUUUCCCUAGGUGGGUGUGAGGCUUCCCAGCCAGAGGCAGCACGCAGGGGAGUCUAACUAGCCAGGUAGGUUCCGGCAGAAACCACUUGGAGAGGCUCAGAAAAGCAGUGGGAGGCAGAGACAAGGCUGGGAGGGGCACGAAGUCGUUGUUCUUUAGACCAGAGUCCAAGGAAGUCAGGCGAGGCCAUGUGCUUGCUGGCAAGGAUGCCUUCAUGGAGCAGGAGCCUCCGUGUUCAGAAGGCAGCGAGUUGGAGAGAAAAGUUCCAGAGGACGGGACAGAGCCAAAGCCAUUUGAUUCCUGCCUGCCCUACUUCGUUCUCUGUGGCCAUCACAGGCCCUGGAGUGCCAAUUGCUGGCAGAAAGAGGCUACAAGUGGCAGGGAGUUCUGCCUGUACCGAGGCAGAGGCUCCAGGACUACUUGGGCCCAGGGUUUUCCCCUUUCCCCUUUUCCGUGUUUUAGACCAGAGCUGACUGAACUUCUGAUUUCGAAUUUUGCUGCGAGCUUCAAAAGAAAGGUUACCCACCUAGCAAAGUUACAAAGUCAACCAUUUUCCAUGUGUUUGAAGCUGAUGGAGGGAGGCAAGCUAGUGACAGGAUCAUUUUCACUCUGGGAGCUCUGAGGAAGCUGGAUGACGGGGGCCACCCACUUGGCUGACCUAUGAGGAAGCAGCUGUGUGAGAAGCUUCCCACUGAUCUUUUUAUUUAUUUUUGUUCUUUUUGAUUUUUUAACUUUUUAUUAGUAUGUAUUUGUCAUACAUACUGAUCACAUUCAUCAUAGGGAAUUUGAACCAUACAUAAAAUAUCUUAAUUCCUCUUUUUUUUUUCCCAUGCCAAUAAUCUUUUCAGAAAUUUAACUUCUUUUCCUUCCUAGGUAUCUUCCCCAAAGGGUUAAAAUCAACAUAUUACCGGGAUACAUACAUACUUAUGUUUGUAGCAGCACAAUUUAUAAUAGCUAGAUCUUGGAAAUAGGGUUAAUGUCCAUUAAAAGAUAAAUAGAUGAAGAAAAUGAUAUGUGUACUCAGUGGAGUACUAUGCUGCCAUAAAGGAAGAUAAAUUUGAGGCAUGCAUAGGUAAAUGGAUGCAACUUAAGAACUUAAUGUUAAGUGAAAUAAAUCAUAUAUACAAGCUCAAAUAUCACAUGGUUUCUCUUGUAUAAGAAUUACAAAUAAAGAAUAAAAUAGAAGAAAAAUAAAUAGGAAAUAGGAAGUUCAAAUACUUCCCCAAGUUAUAAAUUCCAUUGUUUUAAAAGUGUUUCAAUAUAUAUGCUAAUUGGUUUCAUUUGUACUACUAGUUUAUCUCUUUUUGGUUUAUGUCUUAUACUCUGAGUAACUACUUUGGAGAAAGUGAUACAAAGUGUAAUAACUGUUGCUCUUCCCUUAUUUGAUUAUGAAAUUUUUUUCAUAAAAUAAAGUUUUUCUAAAAAAGAAAUUUAACUUCUGAAUUUCCCGUCUCUUUCCUUUUUGUACAAAAAAAUGAAAGUGCUUUUCUAUUUGUGAUUGUAGGUUAUCAUAGACAAAUAUCUAAUAAAUAGGUAUUUGUCUAUGAACUAAAAUGAUAGUUCAGAAUAUUAAGACCACUUUCAUAUAAUGUAUGAGAUGUAUUAAAUAGCUGCAAAAGCCUGGUUUUGGGAUACAUGACAAUGCUGUCCAGAGUAGAAAAUAAUAUUAAACAACUUUUUCUCUUCUGAAUUUCUUAGGGGAUCAUCAAACUGUAAGUUUUUCUAAGUUAAGACUUUUGAAUUAAUGAAAUUGUCUACAGCCUAAUAUAAACCUAGUGUGUUCCUAUUGAAGAUGUAUACUUAGCCUGUGAAAUAUAUUAAAAUGUCUUAACUAAUUUUUAAAGCUUGUUUUCUCAUUAUGUGAAUUCUUUUCAAGUGAAGCCUCUUAGAGGAGGGAAAUCUAGAAAAUAAAUGAUGCACUUGGAAAUCUUUUCUGAUGGGUUAUUCUUUUAUAUAAUUAUGUUCUUCAUGCUAUCACAAGCACCUGUGCUUUCAACUUUAAAACCCUUCAUUUUCUAAUUUGUGUCUAAGGUAUGUUCUAUUAAAUAUUAUUUGAAAGCUAAGCAUGUGCUACAGAUUUAAUGGAUCUGAACAGAAGGAGAACACAGUUUAAUUUUUCAGUUGCAUUCCCGUGAUAAACACAGAGAAAGCCAGUAAUUUGGUAAAUACAAUAAUGUCUACAUGGGCAUAAAAAAGUAUAUUAUACCAAUAAAGGGUAUGGGACUAUUUAUAUAAUGGACAAGAUGUGCUUCUAGAGCUUUCUCCUUGGAAUAAGUCUACCGUGGUGCUGUGGUGUACACAGGUUUUAAGUAAAACUCACCAUCUCUAACUUUGCGAUAGAAAGACAUUUUUGCAAUAGCACCACAAAAUGGGAAGUGGGCAAUUCAUUUCUGCUUUUAAACAUAAAAAUACAGGAAAUGAAACAUAACUAGCAUCUUUUCCUAUUUCCAGUAUGUUUAUAAGAUGGUCUGACCAUAACAAGAUAUUUUUACAAACAUCAGACCUCUCCUACAAUUUUCUCAUGGCUAUAGUUAUUACAUAUGCCUUCCCUUUGAGGAAAUCAAGAAUGGUAGUAGGCGGUUUAUCGGUAAAAUUUUCUCUUCUCUCUGACCUUCAAAGCUGUUUGAGAAAGUAUGUGGGAAGGGUGAAAAAAGAAUUAAAGUGUUUACGUACGUGUACCAACUCCCCAUGAGGAAUAUAAUCAUUAUGUAGUGC